GGGGGGAACUAAGCAUAUCAAUAAGCGGAGGAAAAGAAACUAACAAGGAUUCCCCUAGUAACUGCGAGUGAAGCGGGAAAAGCUCAAAUUUAAAAUCUGGUGGCCUUUGGUCAUCCGAGUUGUAAUUUAGAGAAGCGUCUUCCGCGCUGGACCGUGCACAAGUCUCCUGGAAUGGAGCGUCGUAGAGGGUGAGAAUCCCGUCUUUGGCACGGACGCCCAGUGCUUCUGUGAUGCGCUCUCGAAGAGUCGAGUUGUUUGGGAAUGCAGCUCAAAAUGGGUGGUGAACUCCAUCUAAAGCUAAAUAUUGGCGAGAGACCGAUAGCGAACAAGUACCGUGAGGGAAAGAUGAAAAGCACUUUGGAAAGAGAGUGAAACAGUACGUGAAAUUGUUGAAAGGGAAACGCUUGAAGUCAGUCGCGUCGUCCGAGACUCAGCCUCGCCUCGGCUUGGUGUACUUCUCGGCCGACGGGUCAGCAUCAAUUUUGCCCCUUGGAUAAUGGCGAGGGAAAUGUGACACCUUUACGGGUGUGUUAUAGUCUCUUGUCGCAUGCAAGGGUCGGGAUUGAGGAACUCAGCACGCGCCUUCGGGUGUCGGGGUUUUGCCCACGAUACGUGCUUAGGAUGUUGGCGUAAUGGCUUUAAACGACCCGUCUUGAAACACGGACCAAGGAGUCUAACAUGCCCGCGAGUGUUCGGGUGGAAAACCCGUGCGCGCAAUGAAAGUGAAAGUUGGGACCUCUGUCGUGGAGGGCACCAACGCCCGGACCAGACCUUCUGUGACGGAUCUGCGGUAGAGCGUGUAUGUUAGGACCCGAAAGAUGGUGAACUAUGCCUGAAUAGGGUGAAGCCAGAGGAAACUCUGGUGGAGGCUCGUAGCGAUUCUGACGUGCAAAUCGAUCGUCAAAUUUGGGUAUAGGGGCGAAAGACUAAUCGAACCAUCUAGUAGCUGGUUCCUGCCGAAUUUCCC
rnacentral:rRNA from 1 species